UCAAGUUAUUAAGGGUGCAGGGCGGAUGCCUUGGCACUAGGAGCCGAUGAAGGACGUGAUAAGCUGCGAUAAGCUUCGGGGAGUUGCACGUAAACUUUGAUCCGAAGAUUUCCGAAUGAGGAAACUCACUUAGAGUAAUGUCUAAGUAUCAUUAAGUGAAUACAUAGCUUAAUGAGGGGAACUCAGGGAACUGAAACAUCUAAGUACCUGAAGGAAGAGAAAGAAAUUCGAUUCCGUAAGUAGCGGCGAGCGAACGCGGAUUAGCCCAAACCAAUAAAGUUUUCUUUAUUGGGGUUGCGGACAUAUCAUAACGAAGAGGUAUCGUAAUUGAAGAGGUUUGGAAAGACCCACCACAGAAGGUAAUAGUCCUGUAUGUUAAACGAGAAGACUUUAGAUAUGAUCCAGAGUACCACGGGACACGUGAAACCCUGUGGGAAGCAGGAGGGACCACCCUCCAAGGCUAAAUACUACCUAGUGACCGAUAGCGUAUAGUACCGUGAGGGAAAGGUGAAAAGAACCCCGGGAGGGGAGUGAAAUAGAACCUGAAACCCUGCACUUACAAGCUGUGGAAGCACAUUUCUUGUGUGACCGCGUACUUUUUGUAGAACGGGCCAACGAGUUACGUUAAGUAGCAAGGUUAAGCACUUAAGGUGUGGAGCCGUAGCGAAAGCGAGUUUUAACUGAGCGUUCAGUUACUUGACGUAGACCCGAAACCGGGCGACCUACCCAUGAGCAGGAUGAAGCGAAAGUAAAAUUUCGUGGAGGUCCGAACCCACGAGCGUUGAAAAGCUCGGGGAUGACUUGUGGGUAGCGGUGAAAUUCCAAUCGAGCCCGGAGAUAGCUGGUUCUCCCCGAAAUAGCUUUAGGGCUAGCCUCAAGGUGAGAGAUACGGAGGUAGAGCACUGAAUGUCCUAGGGGGUAUUGCACCUACCGAAGACUAUCAAACUCCGAAUGCCGUCAUCUUAUACUUGGGAGUCAGACUGUGGGUGAUAAGAUUCAUAGUCGAAAGGGCAACAGCCCAGAUCGUCAGCUAAGGUCCCUAAAUGUAAGUUAAGUGGUAAAGGAUGUGGGAUUGCACAGACAACCAGGAUGUUGGCUUAGAAGCAGCCACUCAUUCAAAGAGUGCGUAAUAGCUCACUGGUCGAGUGAUCCUGCGCCGAAGAUUUCCGGGGCUAAAACUUACUACCGAAGCUACGGCAUCAGUAAUGAUGGGUAGGGGAGCUUCCCAUACGGGUUGAAGCAUGACCGUAAGGACAUGUGGACAGUAUGGGAGUGAGAAUGUUGGCAUGAGUAGCGAGAUGUGGGUGAGAAUCCCACAGGCCGUAAACCCAAGGUUUCCAGGGGAAGGUUCGUCCGCCCUGGGUUAGUCGGGACCUAAGCUGAGGCCGAAAGGCGUAGGUGAUGGACAACAGGUUGAUAUUCCUGUACUACCGAUAACCGUUUGAGAGAAGGGAUGACACAGUAGGAUAAGCUAAGCACACUGUUGGUUAUGUGUGCCCAAGCAUUGAGGCAGUCAAAGUAGGCAAAUCCGCUUUGAUAAUGCUGGGAUGUGAUGGGGAGCGAAAUUUAGUAGCGAAGUAGCUGAUUUCACACUGUCAAGAAAAGUCUCUAUCGAGGUUAAAGGUACCCGUACCGCAAACCGACACAGGUGGGUGAGGAGAGUAUCCUAAGGCCAGCGAGAGAACUGUUGUUAAGGAACUCGGCAAAAUGACCCCGUAACUUAGGGAUAAGGGGUGCCACCAUCAGGUGGCCGCAGAGAAUAGGCCCAAGCGACUGUUUACCAAAAACAUAGGUUUCUGCUAAGUCGCAAGACGAUGUAUAGGAGCUGACGCCUGCCCGGUGCUGGAAGGUUAAGGGGAUCUGUUAGAGCAAUCGAAGCAGUGAACUUAAGCCCCAGUAAACGGCGGCCGUAACUAUAACGGUCCUAAGGUAGCGAAAUUCCUUGUCGGGUAAGUUCCGACCCGCACGAAAGGCGUAACGAUUUGGGCACUGUCUCAAC
rnacentral:rRNA from 1 species